CUGUGUACACAGGUCAUUUCUUAGGGAGUAUUCUCAAGAACAAUACCUACAAGGAAGUGAGGGAAGAAGAUGGAUGGGCCAGAGAGAAGUUGAACUCAGAUGUGUUUGCAACUGAGGCCUCAGCUGAUCACAGAAGGAGCAGGGGCUCUAGAAAGUUCAAUGAUAUUCUGUAUUGAGAAACAUGUGCCUCCUUGCCUGCGAAGUCUCUCUCCUGCACCCGAGAGCAGCCGAGAAAUGUGAGCAAGUUAAAGCCCCAGGGACAGCUAACAAAAAAAAAUGGGAGAUUUGAGAAGAUGGCCAUAUGCAAGCCAAGAAGCAGGCCCUCACCGGACACCAGAUCUGUUGGCAUCUUGAUCUUAAAGUUCCAGACUCCAGAAACUGUGAGAAAUAAAUUUCUGUUGUUUAAGCCACU
rnacentral:lncRNA from 10 species